AAGUAGGACAUCAUGAAGAGUGAUGAAUGGAUUUAAUGCAAAAGAUCAUGUGCAUGUCACUUUCACUUUAUAUCCAUUAGGAAGAGUAACAAGAUAGGGCACAGUUAAAGGUGUGAGAUUGAAGAGUAAAUCUUUAUUAAAGGUCAUAUGGUUAGAUGCCCCUGAAUCUAUUAUCCAGGUAGCAGAAUUAAUAUGAGUUAACAUGCAAAAUUUGGAAUCAGAAACAGGGCUCUCAGUUAGCAUAGUACCAGCAAAAUUGGCAGCAUACAUAGGAGGAGGAGACUGGGCAGUGGAGUCCCCUAACUGAGUUUGUUGCAAUAGGGUCAUCAAUUGUUCAUAAUGUUGUCUGCUCAACCCAGGUAUCACAGAAC
rnacentral:lncRNA from 1 species